rnacentral:lncRNA from 1 species
GUGCUUUUCAGCUUUGAGAGCAGCUUCCACGGUGCAGCAAGAACACAGAACACUGCCGCUCAAGCCUAUCCCAAGACCCAGGAAGGGAGUGUUGAGUUAGGCAUCCCUGGGGCUCAGAGUAGGGAGAUCUGUGAUGGGAGCUUAUUCUGGGAUUUCUGGAAUCCAAUUAUUCCAGAUACUGGGGUGAUUAAACUCUUUCCUGCUGGAGGGCAAAGAAUACAGGCAGCAGAACAAGCCCCAAGGCCACCGCCGCUUUGUGAUCUUACCAACUGGCCAUCCCAGCCCCUGUUAAACCUGACAGAGGGUUGAGGGGUCAGUAUCUGGACACAUCUGUAUCCCACUCAGGAUGUUUGGCACACAGAUUGGGCAAGACUGACUAGGCAAAAGCUUAUGAUUUCAUUAUCAAGGAUACAAAUAGUAAAUGUUAGAGAGGAUGUGGGGAGAAGAUACACUCAUACAUUGCUGGUGGGACUACAAGUUAGUUCAACCACUAUGAAAAGGUCAUAUGGAUAUUCCUCAAGAAAGUAGAAAUGAAACCCCCAUAUGACCCAGCUAUCCCACUCCUUGGUAUAUAUCUGCAAGAUCUAAAAUGAGCAGAGUGUAGGAGGAAGCAGCCACAUCAAUGUUUAUAGCAGCACAAUUCACAAUAACCAAGCCACGGAACCAGCCUAGGUGUUCGUCAACAGAUGAACGGAUAAAGAAAAUGCGGUGUAUAUAUACACAAUUGAAUCUUACUCAGCCAUAAAGAAGAAUGAAAUUAUGUCCCUUGCUGGGAAAUGGAUGGAACUGGGGAACAUCAUGUGAAGGGAAAUAAGCCAGACCCAGAAAGUCAAGGGUCAAAUGUUUUCUCUCAUAUGAGAAAGCUGAACCAAAGUCAGAGUAAAAAAGCCCGGGAGGGGACUCCA